GCCAAAAUUAAGUUCAAACACCAAAGAAUACGUUGACCUAUCAAUUAUGUAGAAUUGAAAAGCGAGAUAAUUCAAAGGUAGAAUUAAAAAUUCUUGACCCAAAGUUUAUAAUUAAACAAGAAUCAAGAAUACAAAGAUUGUUGAACCCUACAAGAUUAAUCACUCUUGAACAAUUUAGUUUAGUUCAAGAAAGAAUUUAGGAGAAAUCCCUCUCUUGUAUUG
rnacentral:misc_RNA from 1 species